rnacentral:tRNA from 1 species
GACAAGAUGGCUGAAUGGUUAAGGCUACGGUUUGCAAAACCGUUUUUUGCAGGUUCGAAUCCUGUUCUUGUCU